AUCAUGAUUUACACUUGAGUGAGUGGCGAACUGGUGAGUAACACGUGGGAAACCUGCCCAGAAGCGGGGGAUAACACCUGGAAACAGAUGCUAAUACCGCAUAACAACUUGGACCGCAUGGUCCGAGCUUGAAAGAUGGCUUCGGCUAUCACUUUUGGAUGGUCCCGCGGCGUAUUAGCUAGAUGGUGGGGUAACGGCUCACCAUGGCAAUGAUACGUAGCCGACCUGAGAGGGUAAUCGGCCACAUUGGGACUGAGACACGGCCCAAACUCCUACGGGAGGCAGCAGUAGGGAAUCUUCCACAAUGGACGAAAGUCUGAUGGAGCAACGCCGCGUGAGUGAAGAAGGGUUUCGGCUCGUAAAACUCUGUUGUUAAAGAAGAACAUAUCUGAGAGUAACUGUUCAGGUAUUGACGGUAUUUAACCAGAAAGCCACGGCUAACUACGUGCCAGCAGCCGCGGUAAUACGUAGGUGGCAAGCGUUGUCCGGAUUUAUUGGGCGUAAAGCGAGCGCAGGCGGUUUUUUAAGUCUGAUGUGAAAGCCUUCGGCUCAACCGAAGAAGUGCAUCGGAAACUGGGAAACUUGAGUGCAGAAGAGGACAGUGGAACUCCAUGUGUAGCGGUGAAAUGCGUAGAUAUAUGGAAGAACACCAGUGGCGAAGGCGGCUGUCUGGUCUGUAACUGACGCUGAGGCUCGAAAGUAUGGGUAGCAAACAGGAUUAGAUACCCUGGUAGUCCAUACCGUAAACGAUGAAUGCUAAGUGUUGGA
rnacentral:rRNA from 1 species